GGUAAAAUACUCUCAGUAUUGCGAACUGCCCAAAACAGAAUGUAAGAAUUUGGGUCUCACAAGACAUGCAGCUAGUUUUGUAGAUCAAAUUAUCCUGGAUAUGUGUAGUUUCAAGAUGGGGAAAGGUUAAUGAGCUUUUGAUAAGCAUUACAAAUGGGCAGUACUCAAAAAGGUUUUGAGUUAUUUCAGAUAAGUGUCUGCAUUUUUUCUUAUCAGAAUUUUUUAAGUCUUCAAAAUGCAAUGGGAAAACUUAUUGCCUAAACAGUACAUUCGAGGCCUAUUCCUUUUGCUUUCUUGGGCCCUAUAAAUGCUUCAUAGACAUAGAUAGCAAUACAGUUUCUGUCUCUUCCAUUUAUGUGUUUGGCCAGAGAGACUGCAUGAAAAGCCAUUUCCUUGGCAUUCCAGGAACUUCAAUUCUAGCUGGGAACUGGAUGUGAAGAUAUGCAUAUACAAAAAUUCCAGGUCCUUGGAGAAAGAGAGACGGUCUGUUGAAGUCUGUUGGGGAGAAUCAGUAAAGGUUCUGGAAGUGUCAGGGGUUCUUUAUUUACACUGGUCAGACCAGCCCAGCAAAAGGUCCAAAUUAAACUGAAUCUCCUGCAGUUCACUCAGGGCCAGUAAUGUUCCUCAAAAGGGAAGUGGCUUGCAUUCAUCAUAGGAAAUGUAACGGAAAUCUGACUAACAUGAGCAGAGGCCACAGUGACUACAGUGAAGCCUUUCUAGUCCUGAAUGCAACCUACUGGUCUGAAGGGUGUUUUUUCACCAACUUCUGGAUACGUUCAGUUUGUCCUUUCAAUGAGAUGCCAUUGCCCAUAAUCCCAUUCACUUGGCUCAAACAACCAUCUUCCAGCACUUUCUGUUUUGCCAAAAACAAACAAGAGGUAGGGCACUCCCUACAGGUGAUUUGUAAUAAAUAGCUACCAGUAGGGGAAGGCCAAAGAAGGCAUCUCCUUAGACCAACAGACAGACCUCCAGAAAAGCAAAGCAGGCCUCUUUUUAAACCAAACUGCACUUUCUUCUCUUUCUGGGGGUAGUGCCCUGUGACACGCAUUCUUCAGCAUCUCCAUGUGACUCUUUUGCUCCAUUUUCAAUAAGGUCACCUUAAUUUUUGUGUAAACACGAUAUGGCCCAGCUCCAGAUCCAGCACUCUAUUUAAAAGUAAAUAUGAACACAAAUGUAAGGCUUAAAUAAAUAAAAUUCUUCAUAAAGAACAAGAACCUCAUUGUCUGGGUUGGCAAAUUUACCUGAAGCUGUUUUUUUGAUCCUUAAUUGAAAAAUUGAGUCUCUUGUAGCCAAAACAUACACUGGAAUGCUAAAGACAUUUGGGCAUUGGCAUCUUCAGGAAACUGGCACUGAUGGCUCAAGAAGUGAGGUUUUUUUUUGCUGAAAGUCUGCUUUUGAUUUAUUUCCAUAAUAGAGAGUGAAUAGGUGUAGCAUCAUAAUGAUUUGAGAUUUGUUCCCAGCUUAGAGGCCUCAGGUGGCCUCGUAAAUGUAUUAUGGCAGCACGUUAGGAAAAUGGAACCUGUCUGACAGGAUACCGCUUUUCUUGAUCCCAAUCUAGUUUUUGUAGGAGAUAGAAAAUAAGUUGUAACCCCCUCCGCAAAAAAACACUCUUGUGUGCAUCUCCCUCCCUCUAUAUCAAUAAUCUUAUGAGUUUCCAUGACUCUUGUUCUUCUCGGCAUUUCUUGGUUCCAGAAGAUCCUCUGUGGCACCACCUUGCCAGUAUGUGUCAAAAAAACCAUUUUGGCCUGAGACAGCUCUAUGGGAGGCUGGAUAGGAGAUGGUGGGGGGAGGAAGAGGGAAGAUUCCACUGGCCUCCCAAGAAGUGACCAAAUUAAUGAGUAACUGUGAAAGACUUCUUUGCCUGGCAUGUUAAUGCUUAGAAAUAUACCACAGAAAACUGACACACUGUCUCUCCCAUGAGCAGUAAUAUCUCAGCCCCGGGCUUCUGGAGUUACCAUGCCAGCUCAGAGUUCAGAUCCAUAAAUUUAUUUUAUCUGUUUGAAAUCCAUGUAUUUCUUUCUUUCUUUCUUUUUUUUUGUAACCUCUUAGUUCAGCUAUUUUUGAGAAAUAGUCAUAUUUGUCAGAAAGGAACUAAGGUUACAUAGGAGGUUUCAUAGAUUACUGUUUCAGCACAAAUGAGAACAGCAGGCUUAAGCAAAGGCAGGGCAGCUGAAAUCUGCUUUGGUCCUGAGCACCUCUGGAAGCAAUAUCCUUUAAUCCAUGUUCCUCUUCCUGCUUUCCCCCUUUAACCAUCGAUACCUUUAAAUCAGGCUCUUAUAACUGAAAUGGUUUCCCCCCAAUGAAUAUACUCCUGUUUAUUAGGGUUUCCAGUCUAUUGAUGGAGACGACACAGUGUGGAAGCAUGAAUACAAAUGAGAGAGUCCAGUCUGGAUUUCUAAAUGGUGACUGUAACUGGCCAUGCUGUUCACUAGUGCAUCUGGUUCAUAUGAGUUUUUCAGACGUCACUGUUGCUCGAGGAAAAAAUAGCCUGCUAUUGAGUCAGAUUCCAGAGGGCCUUCAGGGCUUCUCACCUGCCAUGUCUUUGCUUUAAUAAAUAUAUUUAGUAGGGAGGAAGAUGUAUGUUCUAUCCCUCCUGGUCCCCUCCUUCAAUCUUCCCAGCUAUCUUCCUGUUUGGGGCUCCCCGUCCCCUACACCCCACCUAAUAGCAACCAAUGAUAUUGAGUCCUGGUCUUCUGGGUUUGGUUAUGAUACCAUUACACUUGUCUUGGCCUUUUGAAUUAGUAUAAAUGUAUGCGGAUGUUAGUUCAUCCUGCUCUGUUUAGGCCAUAGUGGGACUGGCCUAGCUUCUUCCUGACUCCAGGUUACCUUGUCUCUCAGCAUCUGUUCCUCUCUCCUUGGCCUGUAGUUGCCAUGGUGUGGACAGCUGUCUCUCCUUCUCUCUGCAGGUUCCUGGUGGGUCCAAUCCAGUCGGGAGACAUCAGGAGUCCACUACUCUGCUUCAGGUAGCUGGAAUGGACCACCUAACUUGAAGACCUGCCUUAAAGGAUAUUCUUUGAUGGUGAGACCUGGGAAUGAAACAAUUUUUGAAGCAAGAGCACCCUCUAAUGGAAAACAAAAGGAAAGAGCAGCAGUGCCCAAACGAGGACCCAUGGUGCAAAUGCUUAGGUGAAUGUUCUUCCAGAACCCCAGUGCAGUCAAAUUAGUUUCCAUUGGCUCCUAGCUCAACCACCCUCACUGAAUGUGGCAGGGAUCCACAUUAGAAGAGAUGAGUGAGUGCUGAAGUUACUGUUCAGGAAAAAUUUCAUCUUUUGGAUUUCUCUGUGGAUCUGGUUCCUGGCUCCUGACUCUGGUUUGACCCUUGGACAUCACCCUGUGGAUUAUCCCUCAGAUUGGUACUUGGCAUCUGAUCCCCAGAUACUGGCCCUGGACCAUGGUAUGGACUCAACCCCAAGAUGUCCUUCUGGAUUUGAUAGUAUGGCUCCCAAUCUCUGACCCAGCCCUGGGACCAGCUUUCCCUCAAUGGUCUGACCAUUAAAUGAGACUGCCUAUGCCCUGGUCCCUUAAACUUAGUGGGUAUUUGCAAAGAGUUAGCCCACAAACCCACAUGUUUUAGGCUAGAUUCCACAUAUUCAAGAACAGUUAGGUUGUAUACCUUGUGCUAAUUCUGUAGUGCCCUUGGAAAUUACUUAAGAUAUAAAGAAAGGAAAUAUCUAAUAAGAGUCCUAAUGAGUUCAAGACCCACCUUUGUUUUCCCACUCUUGCAAGAGUGAGGCUUGCCUUCAUACUCUCUGGUGGCAUUUUUCGCAGCAGGUCUUUAAGUUUAAUGAAAAUAAUGAAUAUGUUUUCUAAUAAUAAUGGUGAAAGUGCUCACCAACCCUAGGAGUUUUCUUUAGCAGCAGGUUCUGCCCCAUGGCACUAGAUAUGGCCACUGUCUUCUCAUCUGGCACAUAGCUGGUUGGUUUUCGGUUAGACCAGUCAUCAGCUUGUGCCAAACCACACAGCUCGAGCUAGUGAGGUGAACUCACAAAGUUCCAUGUUGUGCUGCCAGAGCUCUUCUCAUGUGGAAAGACACACACCCAUGGGGCAGCUGCAAAACCAACAGCUGCCAGGAGCCCUAAGAUCAAAAGGCCUUCUCAUAGGAAGUAGCAACAAAGCAGGAGAUCCCUCUAUACUCCUUGUAUGGCAAGCCUGGGGGGACAGUCACCAUACAGAGAAGUUGGGGUCUGGUCGAGUGCAGGGGGAUGAUCAAGUUUUCAUAGAUUUUCAUAGGUCUGGAGAUAGAAGCCUGUUUACAGGACUGAGAAUUGCUGCCUGACUUUUCAGGAGCCAGCUGGCCGCAAUUUGAGAUUCUUCCAGAAAACGGGCAUUAUUGUGCAGUUUUUCCCCUUCAUUGCAAGGCAUCCUACAGGGCUCCUUGGACAAGAGUGAAAGCUUCUGAGAAGCAAACAAGAAAAAAAGCAUCCUAAAGCUGUGGCUGCCUGAUGUCCAUUUAAAGCACACCCCCCUGACACACACACAUCCAACUAAGACCGCCACCUUCUACUUUUCCCUUGCACAUCAUCAGAAUUCCCCUUCUGUACUUCUACUCUCUCUCUGCCUCUCUUUGAAAUAAAGGUUUUAAAACUUUUUUUAAGUCUC